rnacentral:lncRNA from 10 species
AAACAGACAUAGACUUAGAAGUUACCCACAUGUUUAUCUUUAUUGAGAUCUUUAUUUCUUCUUAACAGCUUUGAGUUACCAUCUAGUGUCCUUUCAACCUGCAGGACCUCCUUGAGCAUUCCUUGCAGGGCAGGUCUAGUGGUAACAAACUCCUUCAGCUUUUGUUUAUCUGGGAAUGUCUUAUUUUCUUCCUCACAUGUGAAGGAUAGUUUUGCUGGAUAUAGGAUUCUUUUUUGCCAGUUUUUUUUUUCUUUUAGCACUUUAUUUAUUAUUCUUAUUAUUUUUUUAUUUUUGAGAGAGAGACUUGCUCUGUUGCCCAGGCUGGAGUGCAAUGGCACAAUCUUGGCUCACCGCAACCUCUGCCUCCCAGGUUCAAGCGAUUCUCCUGGCUCAGCCUCCCGAGUAGCUGGGAUUAUAGGCGCCUGCCACCAGGCCCAGCUAAUUUUUGUAUUUUUAGUAGAGACAGGGUUUCACCAUGUUGGCCAGGCUGGUCUCAAACUCCUGACCUCAGGUGAUCUGCCCACCUUGGCCCCCCAAAGUGCUGGGAUUACAGGCGUGAGCCACCACACCCAGCCUUUCUUUUAGUGCUUUAAAUAUAUUGGCCCUCUGCCUUCUGGCCUCCAAGUUUCUGAUGAAAAAUCUGCUUGUCAUUUUAUUGAGGAUCCCUUGUAUGUGACAAGUUUCUUCCCUCUUGCUACUUUCAGGAUUCUAACUUUGCAUUUCAAAAGUUAGACUAUAAUGUGUCUCAGUGUGGGUCUCUUUGAGUUCAUUUUACUUGGAGUUACUUGAGCUGCUUGGAUGUUUAUAUGCAUGUCUUUCAUCAAAUUUGGGAAGUUUUCAGCCAUUAUUUCUUCAAACAUAGUCAUAAGCUGCAUAAUGACAUUUUGGUCAUCAAUGAACUGCAUAUAUGAUGGUGGUCCUCAAAGAUUAUAAUACUGUAUUUUUACUGUACUUUUUAUGUUUAUAUGUACUUAGAUACACAAAUACUUACCAUUGUGUUAUAAUUGCCUAAGUAUUAAAUACAGUAACAUGCUGUACAUAUUUGUAGCCUUGGAGCAAUAAGUUAUAUACCAUAUAGUUUAGGUAUACAGUAGCUAUACCAUGUAGGCUUGUAUAAGUACUCUCUACGAUGUUCACACAAUGUUGAAAUCACAUGAGGAUGUAUUUCUCAGAACAUAUUUUUGUUGUUAAGUGAUGCAUGACUGUAUUCUCUCUGCCCCUUUCUCUUUCUUCUCUUUCUGAGGUACCUAAAAUGUAUAUGUUGGCCCGUUUGAUGGUGUCCCACAGGUCCCUUACUCUCUGUUCGUUUUUUUUUUUUUUUUUUUUUUUUUGAGACAGGGUCUCACUCUGUCACCUGGGCUGGAGUGCAGUGGCACAGUCACAUCUCACUGCAACCUUGACCUCCUGGGCUUAAGCAAUCCUCCCUCCUCAGCCUCCUGAGUAGCUGGGACUAUAGGUGUGUGCCACCAUGCCUGGCUAAUUUUUGUUUUUGUUUUUAUUUCUUGUAGAGACAGGGUUUUGCUAUGUUGCCCAGGCUGGUCUUCAACUCCUGGGGUCAAGUGGCCCACCUGCCUCAGCCUCCCAAGGUGCUGGGAUUACAGGUGUGAGCCACCGCACCUGGCCUUUUUGUUAAUAUUUCCAUUUCAUUCAUACAUUAUUUUCUUGACUUCUUCCAUGUCUUCCUUUAGUGCUUGAGUUCUUUAAGAUAAUUGUUUUAAAGUCUUUGUCUAGUAGCCAUGCCAUCAAGGUUAUUUUUAGGGAAAGUUUCUUUUUUUUUUUUUUUUUGAGACGGAGUCUCGCUGUCUCAGGCUGGAGUGCAGUGGCAUGAUCUCGGCUCACUGCAACCUCUGCCUCCCGGUUUCAAGUGAUUCUCCUGCCUCAACCUCCCAAGUAGCUGAGAUUACAGGUACCCUCCACCAUACCUGGCUAAUUUUUGUAUUUUUAGUAGAGAUGGGAGUUUCACCGUGUUGGCCAGGCUGUUCUCGAACUCCUGACCUCAGGUGACCUGCCUGCCUCGGCCUCCCAAAAUGUUGCGAUUAUAGGUGUGAGCCACCACGCCCAGCUUUUCAGAGAUAGUUUCUGUUGAUUUAUUUUUGUUUUCCUUUGAAUUGGCCAUACUUUCCUGUUUCUUUGUAUGCCUUGUGAACUUCUGUUGAAAACUGGACAUUUGAAUCUAAUAAUGUGGUAACUCUGGAAAUCAGACUCUCCUCCUUCCCCAGGGUUUGCUGGGUUUUGUUUGUUUUUUUUUCUUUUCUACUGUUGUAGGCUGUCUCUUUCCAAGGCUCAGCUGGGGUAUAAACUUACGGUCUUCUUGGGACUCUUCUGAGCCUUUCUUUGGCAUUUAUGGUCACUUUCUAAUUUCCCCAGUAUAUACAGUUGUUUUGAAUGUCCUAGCCUUUCAUGUUUGGCUCCUAAGAAGAGAAAAAGAGAAAAAUCAAGAGGGAAAAAAAGGCACCAGCUCUUUAAAGCCCUGGAAGUCACUUCAGCCAGAGGGGGAGGGGCUUGCAGCAAUGUGGGGAGGGGCCAUGACAAUGGCUGCUGCUGCUUUGUCUGCCCCUCAGGAGCCAUUGCUGCUUAACAAGUGGUUACAGACUUCGUGACUAUGUUAUCAUUCGGCCGUAUCCGUGGGUCAGGAGUCCGGGCACAGGCUAAAUGGGUCCUCUGGCUGAGCACCUCUCCCAGGGCUAACGCCAAGGUGUUUCAGCCAGGGCUGCAUUCUCAUCUCAAGGAUCGACUGGGGAAGGAUGCGCCUGCAAGCUCCCAUGCUUGUUGAUGAAAUUCAGUUCCUUGUGGGCAGUUGGGCUGAGGGGCCCCCAUGUAGCUCAGUUUUGCUACAUGAGCCUCUGCCUAGGACAUCUUGCAACAUGGCGCUGAAUUCAUCAAAGCCUGCAAGGGAGAGAGUCUGCCAUCAAGACAAAGGUAGCAAUCUUAUUUUUAUUAUUAUUUUUUUUUUGAGAUGGAGUCUCUCUCUGUUGCCCAGGCUGGAGUGCAGUGGCCUGAUCUCAGCUCACUGCAAGCUCCGCCUUCUGGGUUCACGACAUUCUCCUGCCUCAGCCUCCUGAGCAGCUGGGACUACAGGUGCCAACCACCACGCCCGGCUAAUUUUUUUGUAUUUUUAGUAGAGACGGGGUUUCACUGCAUUAGCCAGGAUGGUCUCGAUCUCUUGACUUCAUGAUCCGCCCACCUCGGCCUCCCAAAGUGCUGGGAUUACAGGCGUGAGCCACCGCGCCCAGCCAGGUAGCAAUCUUCUGUAACGUAACUACAGGAAUGAUGGACAUCACAUCCCAUUACCUUCACUGUGUUCUCUUGGUUAGAAGCAAGUCACAGGUCCCACCCACACUCAAGGGGAAGGAAUUACACAAGGCAUGAAUACCAGGAGAAAGGAUAGCCAGGGCCAUUAUAGAGCUUCCCCCACAGCACCAUAAAUCAGUCACUGAUUCAAAGCAUAUACUGCAUCCCAUAAGAUACAGUGAUAUAUUCUCAGGAUACAAUCUCCCAACUGGCACUGCAACCAGGUCUUAAGGCCACUAAACAUUCUAUCACGCCAGCUCCUCUUGAGCCAGGACACCUAGCAAGACCAGUGCAUUCCAUGGGAAAGAAGUUAGCUGGAAAAUAAGUUCCUUAGUCCGCAUCAAUGUUGUGUAUGUUACCAUGAUGUGGAAUAAAUAUUUUAUUUCAUUUAUUUAUUUAUUAAGACGGAGUCUUGCUCUGUCCCCAGGCUGGAGUACAAUGACGUGAUCUUAGCUCACUGCAACCUCCGCCUCCCAGGUUCAAGCAAUUCUUGUGCCUCAGCCUCCUAAGUAGCUGGGAUUACAGGCGCCUGCCACCAUGCCAGGCUAAUUUUUGUAUUUUUAGUAGAGAUGGGGUUUCAUCAUGUUGGCCAGGCUGGUCUCAAACUCCUUACCUCAAGUGAUCCUCCCGCCUUGGCCUCCCAAAGUGCUGGGAUUACAGGUGUGAGCCACUGUGCCUGGCCAGAAUAAAUAUUUUAUAAACUCAUGGUGGCACGGGCAACAUCAUUGCAGUCAAGAACAAAUUCAUAUCUAGAAUCCAUUCCUCCAGUGAGGACACGCAGUGCCCCUUCAUGAUGGAAAGGGUUCAGUGUGGUCAGCCUGCUGGCAGGUGGCUGAGCCCCUGGAAGUGGAGCCAUGCUGGGGGCUCAGUGUCCAUCUCUGCUGCUGGAAGGUUCAGCAUUCAGUGGUGGCAGCCUUGGGGGGAGGAAGAUCUAAUCUAUGUUGUAGAGCCCAUGCAAAGCCCCCAUCUCUGCUGCUGCUCAUUGAUAAAGCAUGAAGGUGGCUGGAAAGCAUGACUGCCAUCCACAGUGCAUGGUUUCAACCUCCUGAUGAUCCCUCUUGGUACAUCUCCCCAAAAUGCAUGACUCUGGUGGACAUUUGCAAAGGUGCACAACAUCUUCACAUUCUGUGCUGUCCACCCACAUCCUCUUUCCCAGAUAUGCUUCUUACCAGUCUCCCAAGCCUGCUCUUUUUGGUAUCUAGCCAAAGCAUUAACUACCACCAGGAACUAAGUCAAUAUUUUCUUCCACGGAUCUCUUAGUCCCGACAAAGUGGACAACACAAUUCACAGCUCAAAGUGCUUCUCAUUGCCAGGCACACUCCUGACUUAAGGCUGGAGCUCAGUACACCACGAGGGACUGUCUGAGAACCAGGGCUGCUUUUCUUUCCUUGUCAGGUGACCAUGAGGAGCUUCCCAGGAUGCCAUUGGUGUGGAUCAAUAGGGAGGAGGUGAUGGAGGAGCACCCCGUGUCACAGGCAUCUGAGCCGCCAGGACCUUCGCACACCCAGUUUCUUAUGUUUCAUCUUCAUUCAUGGUACUCGGUGUACCAUGAAUUGCUGGGGUAAAUUUCCAUAAUUAUGAAGAGGCAGAAAGAGAUGGAGAGAGAGAAUGUUAUAACAGCAGAGAUAUUUUAUACAUUUCAUUUUAAAAAUAAAAUGUUAAAUUUAACAAAUGAAAAUUAGUGAACCUCAAGGAAUUGCUGGAUGCAUAAAAAUCUCUUAAAAAUUGUGUACAAAAGAACAUAUGUAAUAUAUAUGUGCCUUAGGACAAUAGAAUGUAAGAGCUCACAUGUCACCAACACUAUUGCAUCCCCACCUAACUCUGCUCCUCCCUGCAGAUGAAUCCACUCUUACAAAUGUGUUCACCAUUCCCUUACUUUUAAAAUACAAUUUUCAAAAAAUAAAAAAUAAAAAUUUCAAGAAUCAUAUAUAUAGCCGCGCCGG